rnacentral:lncRNA from 1 species
GCUGGGCUAUCUAGAAAAAUUGGUUUUUCUGGAAUACAAAAUCCUUGAGUUUAAAGAGUUUAAAUCAUCAUUCAAAGUUCAAGCACACUCUCUUUUUAACCAAUCUCACUCAUUCCCAUUUUCUUCCCUUUUUUCCUUUUUACAUGGAGUUCACUUUGCAUGCUUUUUCUCUUUUCUUCUUUUCUUUUCUUUCUCACGCAUUUUUCUUUUUUUUUAACUUUUGAACUCAAUGUUUUUCUUUUUCUUUUGCCUUUCACUUUCCCCAUACAACCCCAAACUUGAACAUUUUCAACACAUACAAUUAUUCU